CAGUCCAUAGUCCAUUCUUCUUAGUUUGCUCUUGUGUGCUGCAACUUCUCUGCUUUUCCUUUUGAUUCAUGCCUGACCUCCUUCAUUUUCUCACAGCUCAUGCUGUGCAACUGUGGUAAGGUUUUUGUGCUACUGAUGAUCGGGUGAAUUUUUUAGGCCAUGGAUGGACUUGUGUGGAAGUGGGCAUGCUUGACUUUGAUUCAUAGCUUGUGGGUUGUCUGUUUGUGAACGGUUUCAUGUCUUUUAUGUGGGUUGUCUUGCGAUGAGUUUUUUAAGGGUAAGCUCGGGUUUGAUGAUGUUGAAGUUUGGGUGUAGCAAUUUGUCACAAUUGUCUUGGAUCUUGCAAACGUGGUGAAGCAGCCAACGACUGGACUAAUAGUGUCUGUGCUUGUCCUUGGUAUUCGUCCAACAAUUUCGUGUUCAUUCAAUUUCGUCGGAAAUACAUCAUAUCUUCUCACUUAGUUUUAGGUUAUGGUUCACUGAGUAUGUUCGUGAUGCAGUUUGUUUGGGUUCAGUGGCAAUUCGCAAAGUUGGUGUUCAAUUUUGUCAUUCGAAACUGUGUACUCCAAUCUUUCGUAGUGAUUGUUGUGUUUGGUGCAACUGGAUAGAACUCAAGAUGCAGACCUAACUUGUUUUUGGCAAGUGUUGCUUGAAUUGCUGUCCGUGUGUUGGAAGGUUGCUGGUGCAUUGAACAAUCCUUGUUGGUCUUUUUCCAAUUGUUUGUCACGAGUUGUGUUGAAUGGAGAGUAAAUUCUUUGCAUCGAAGAAACUUAGGUUCGGAAGGUGUUGAAACAAAGUAGAAGACAUUCAAAGCCACCACUAGCUGCACCGGCUACGAGUUGCAAGACGCGCUCAACCGAGGGCCAAGAUGUUCUUUUGGAACACUCACAGAGAAACGGCAACUUGGGUGCAGUGCGGACUAACAACGCCAUUGAGGAACGCAGGCUUAGUGAAAACAGCGAGGAAAGUCCUCAAGGUUCCCGAGCUGGAUAUGGCGAUGACAGCAGUGUGUCCGGCAGCGUCAAACUCAGUUACUAUGGAACGAAGGAUCAUCAACGGCAUGGGCCUCGGGGCACUGGGUUGCGGGAGUGGAAAGGGGAUUUUGUUGGGAAGCCAGAGAGGGAGAUUGGUAAAUUAGGCGCAGAUGAGGUUAUUAACGGUGGUGGUCUUGUAAGAAUUCCCCAGUCAAAGCGUAGACAGGGAAAGGCGGACAAUCGACCACCGUCCGAACCACGAACUCGAAUGCCUACCAUGGCGUUGGAGCGUAAACCAAAAGAAUCAUCUGGAAAGGCUUCUUGCGAGUCCAUCGUCAAGCACAACAAGCGUGCUUUCCUGGCGCCUAGUGUACAACAGGAAGCUUCCGUAGGGUGCGAGCGCUUCUAUAGACUCAUGCGACUUCUCGAUGAGAAAGCUAUUGGUUCUAGAACCAGAGAAGAGGUAGCUGAGGGGUUGGCUGGGAAGUCCCAGCGACGGUUGGUGGAAGGGAUAGACUUAGCGACUAGCGACGCUGCCUGUCUCAAACGUAGCAGAAAGAGCUCCUCACGUGAUAAUGGCGGCAAAGGGAAAGAAAUGGCACUUCUUGCAACCAUUCCACACUCGCCUCGCAUGGGCAAGUUCAGGGGAAGGCAUCUUUUCGGGAUGCAGGAAAGUAAUCCUGGCGGUGCUGAUUCAUCGUCAUGUAAGAGUCUUUGCGCCGCUGCAAGUGACUGUUCUCCAUCAACCUCUCCGAAUUUCCUUCCGCUCUCCCACUACAUUCAGAAGCUGAGGAGUUUUUCGCCCGAUUCCCUGCUGGGGGCUUCCAAUGUUGAACCGUUAAUGAGUGUUAACAACGCCGUUGGAAGUGGUGCCGAUCGGCAUGAGCAUCACGAGAAGUUCACUUGUGAGGAUAUCAGAGCAAUGUCAGUUUCACAUGAUCGGGAGCACGGCGUGGGUCUCUGUUCAACGACGUCACCAUGUGAAUCUGCGUCCGCGGUCUUUUCACCUGCUAGUACUAACCCCUCCAGCCCAAGGGUGCUUCCUCGCUCGUCGCCCCAGCUCAUGAACAACCGAUUUGGAUUGUCGUCGUCGUCUGCGCUAUUCGCAUCUCUUGCCCAUCCGACAGAGCUGGGAACUUCGCAGGCGAAACUGUCGCAAUCGAACUCCGACAAUAUUGCCUUUGGCUCGGGAUUUGAGUCGAACACCAUUGCCCGUCAGGACAAGUCUCACCACAUGAUCACCACGCUCAGUGACCAGCUCUCGUAUCCUCCCUUCCUCAGUGACCUCCAGGCUAAGGUGUCCUCAGAGGUGAUGGACGAGACUAUGAACAACGUGCAGCGAGCUCUUGGCGAGUUGAAAGGCUCAGUGCAGUGCAUGAAAGUAUGGUUGGAUGCAGAUGGACAGGGAUGGCGUGAGCAUCUUGAUAGAUUAGAGAAGGAACUUGAAAACUUGAAAGAUAAAUCGGAUGACGAGAUCAUUGCGGCAAAGCACAGCCUUCGCAAUGAAAUGAAGGUAAAGCUGGGUGACCUCAUGGCAGAGAUGGAGAGAAUCCGGCGCCAAGAAAGAGAUGAGGGUCUAAUGGGUCUUACAACUCAGGUAGAGGUGAUGGUGGAGGAGAUGGUAGAGAAGAUGCUUCAGUCACAAGUAUAUACCAAAAGCUCUGUAGAGAUGAAGGAUGAGAUACAUCUUUCAUACCGGACGUCGUUGUUUCUAAUUCAGAUUCAUCAUUGUGAGGUUCAAGAAGCAAAGCUAAAGACUUAGUUCUGAUGAAGGUAACCCAGCCUCCUAUUUACCGAUAUUGAAACAAGAUCGAUACUCGGAAGAAGGUGGAUUUGGAGAGUAUAUGAACAGGGCUAGCAAAGUUGCAAGAAGAGACGAAAGAUUUGGAGCGCCAGAAGGAAGCUUUGCAAGGAGGUGGACGAGAGCGUAUAUUGAUCACGGAGAGAGUGGAAAGUUUGUCACAGCGCUU